AUGGUGUUGGGCGACUUCAACAUGAUUCUAUGGGCCAGCGAGAAGAACAAUGACAAUCUGAUCAGGAGCAUCAUGAAUAGGUUUAGGAGCUUCGUGGACGACAAUGAGCUGAAGGACAUGUACAUGCACAGGCGUAGCUUCACUCGGUCCAACGAAUGGGAUAACCCCACCAUGACAAAGAUCAACCGCGUGCUAGUUUCUGUGGGCUGGGAGCUGACAUACCCUGACUGUCUCUUGCAAGCUCUCUCAUCCGGGGUUUCAGAUCACGCCCCACUCCCCCUGUCUACAAACAUCGUGGGAUGCUUGGUUUAG
rnacentral:rRNA from 1 species